GAAGCUUGGUUAGGUUAACAAACAAGGGUCAUUUCUAAGGCCAUUGAAACGAAAGUGCCGAUGCAAAAGAGACAUUCACAGUAUUAUUCACACUACUCGACUUUGUUUCAUUUGUUUCUUAUUUGAAACCUUCACAACACAUAUUCCACAACUCAAUUUUUAUUUUUCACUAUUUUUCUUCCAAGCAAGCAUUCAUUUUCAUUCUUUCUAUUUUUGUUCUUUUCUUUCACAUCAUAUAUACAAAACAGAUGUUUCUUUUCUAUAUUUUCUAUACAUAUAUAUUUUUAUGCUUGCUCGGUUUUUCUUUUCUUUUUCAAGAGUUGUGGUACUUACCGAUUCUUUUUCGUUCUCCCCAACUUAUUUCUUACUCACCCUAAGUGAAUGCUCUUAACUUUUUACGGCAAAAGAACAAUAAUCAAGAUUUUCCGGGUUGUAAAAAAAAGAUUUUUGAGAUCUCGCUUUAUUUCAAGCCGAG
rnacentral:lncRNA from 1 species